UACGGGGGGUGCGAGCGUUAAUCGGAAUAACUGGGCGUAAAGGGCGCGCAGGCGGUCUUUUAAGUGAGGUGUGAAAUCCCCGGGCUUAACCUGGGAAUCGCAUUUCAUACUGCGAGUCUAGAGUACUUUAGGGAGGGGUAGAAUUCCACGUGUAGCGGUGAAAUGCGUAGAGAUGUGGAGGAAUACCGAUGGCGAAGGCAGCCCCGUGGGAAUGUACUGACGCUCAUGUGCGAAAGCGUGGGGAGCAAACAGG
rnacentral:rRNA from 1 species